UUAAGUUAUUAAGGGCGCACGGUGGAUGCCUUGGCACUAGAAGCCGAUGAAGGACGUUACUAACGACGAUAUGCUUUGGGGAGCUGUAAGUAAGCUUUGAUCCAGAGAUUUCCGAAUGGGGAAACCCAGCAUGAGUUAUGUCAUGUUAUCGAUAUGUGAAUACAUAGCAUAUCAGAAGGCACACCCGGAGAACUGAAACAUCUUAGUACCCGGAGGAAGAGAAAGAAAAUUCGAUUCCCUUAGUAGCGGCGAGCGAAACGGGAAGAGCCCAAACCAACAAGCUUGCUUGUUGGGGUUGUAGGACACUCUAUACGGAGUUACAAAGGACGACAUUAGACGAAUCAUCUGGAAAGAUGAAUCAAAGAAGGUAAUAAUCCUGUAGUCGAAAAUGUUGUCUCUCUUGAGUGGAUCCUGAGUACGACGGAGCACGUGAAAUUCCGUCGGAAUCUGGGAGGACCAUCUCCUAAGGCUAAAUACUCUCUAGUGACCGAUAGUGAACCAGUACCGUGAGGGAAAGGUGAAAAGCACCCCGGAAGGGGAGUGAAAUAGAACCUGAAACCGUGUGCUUACAAGUAGUCAGAGCCCGUUAAUGGGUGAUGGCGUGCCUUUUGUAGAAUGAACCGGCGAGUUACGAUUUGAUGCAAGGUUAAGCAGUAAAUGUGGAGCCGUAGCGAAAGCGAGUCUGAAUAGGGCGUUUAGUAUUUGGUCGUAGACCCGAAACCAGGUGAUCUACCCUUGGUCAGGUUGAAGUUCAGGUAACACUGAAUGGAGGACCGAACCGACUUACGUUGAAAAGUGAGCGGAUGAACUGAGGGUAGCGGAGAAAUUCCAAUCGAACCUGGAGAUAGCUGGUUCUCUCCGAAAUAGCUUUAGGGCUAGCCUCAAGUGAUGAUUAUUGGAGGUAGAGCACUGUUUGGACGAGGGGCCCCUCUCGGGUUACCGAAUUCAGACAAACUCCGAAUGCCAAUUAAUUUAACUUGGGAGUCAGAACAUGGGUGAUAAGGUCCGUGUUCGAAAGGGAAACAGCCCAGACCACCAGCUAAGGUCCCAAAAUAUAUGUUAAGUGGAAAAGGAUGUGGCGUUGCCCAGACAACUAGGAUGUUGGCUUAGAAGCAGCCAUCAUUUAAAGAGUGCGUAAUAGCUCACUAGUCGAGUGACACUGCGCCGAAAAUGUACCGGGGCUAAACAUAUUACCGAAGCUGUGGAUUGUCCUUUGGACAAUGGUAGGAGAGCGUUCUAAGGGCGUUGAAGCAUGAUCGUAAGGACAUGUGGAGCGCUUAGAAGUGAGAAUGCCGGUGUGAGUAGCGAAAGACGGGUGAGAAUCCCGUCCACCGAUUGACUAAGGUUUCCAGAGGAAGGCUCGUCCGCUCUGGGUUAGUCGGGUCCUAAGCUGAGGCCGACAGGCGUAGGCGAUGGAUAACAGGUUGAUAUUCCUGUACCACCUAUAAUCGUUUUAAUCGAUGGGGGGACGCAGUAGGAUAGGCGAAGCGUGCGAUUGGAUUGCACGUCUAAGCAGUAAGGCUGAGUAUUAGGCAAAUCCGGUACUCGUUAAGGCUGAGCUGUGAUGGGGAGAAGACAUUGUGUCUUCGAGUCGUUGAUUUCACACUGCCGAGAAAAGCCUCUAGAUAGAAAAUAGGUGCCCGUACCGCAAACCGACACAGGUAGUCAAGAUGAGAAUUCUAAGGUGAGCGAGCGAACUCUCGUUAAGGAACUCGGCAAAAUGACCCCGUAACUUCGGGAGAAGGGGUGCUCUUUAGGGUUAACGCCCAGAAGAGCCGCAGUGAAUAGGCCCAAGCGACUGUUUAUCAAAAACACAGGUCUCUGCUAAACCGUAAGGUGAUGUAUAGGGGCUGACGCCUGCCCGGUGCUGGAAGGUUAAGAGGAGUGGUUAGCUUCUGCGAAGCUACGAAUCGAAGCCCCAGUAAACGGCGGCCGUAACUAUAACGGUCCUAAGGUAGCGAAAUUCCUUGUCGGGUAAGUUCCGACCCGCACGAAAGGCGUAACGAUUUGGGCACUGUCUCAACGAGAGACUCGGUGAAAUCAUAGUACCUGUGAAGAUGCAGGUUACCCGCGACAGGACGGGAAGACCCCGUGGAGCUUUACUGUAGCCUGAUAUUGAAAUUCGGCACAGCUUGUACAGGAUAGGUAGGAGCCUUUGAAACGUGAGCGCUAGCUUACGUGGAGGCGCUGGUGGGAUACUACCCUAGCUGUGUUGGAUUUCUAACCCGCACCACUUAUCGUGGUGGGAGACAGUGUCAGGCGGGCAGUUUGACUGGGGCGGUCGCCUCCUAAAAGGUAACGGAGGCGCUCAAAGGUUCCCUCAGAAUGGUUGGAAAUCAUUCAUAGAGUGUAAAGGCAUAAGGGAGCUUGACUGCGAGACCUACAAGUCGAGCAGGGUCGAAAGACGGACUUAGUGAUCCGGUGGUUCCGCAUGGAAGGGCCAUCGCUCAACGGAUAAAAGCUACCCCGGGGAUAACAGGCUUAUCUCCCCCAAGAGUUCACAUCGACGGGGAGGUUUGGCACCUCGAUGUCGGCUCAUCGCAUCCUGGGGCUGUAGUCGGUCCCAAGGGUUGGGCUGUUCGCCCAUUAAAGCGGUACGCGAGCUGGGUUCAGAACGUCGUGAGACAGUUCGGUCCCUAUCCGUCGUGGGCGUAGGAAAUUUGAGAGGAGCUGUCCUUAGUACGAGAGGACCGGGAUGGACAUACCUCUGGUGUACCAGUUGUCGUGCCAACGGCAUAGCUGGGUAGCUAUGUGUGGACGGGAUAAGUGCUGAAAGCAUCUAAGCAUGAAGCCCCCCUCAAGAUGAGAUUUCCCAACUUCGGUUAUAAGAUCCCUCAAAGAUGAUGAGGUUAAUAGGUUCGAGGUGGAAGCAUGGUGACAUGUGGAGCUGACGAAUACUAAUCGAUCGAAGACUUAAUCAA
rnacentral:rRNA from 1 species